UGGGGAAUUUUGGACAAUGGGGGCAACCCUGAUCCAGCAAUGCCGCGUGUGUGAAGAAGGCCUUCGGGUUGUAAAGCACUUUUGUCCGGGAAGAAAUCGCACCUGAUAAUACCGGGUGUGGAUGACGGUACCGGAAGAAUAAGGACCGGCUAACUACGUGCCAGCAGCCGCGGUAAUACGUAGGGUCCAAGCGUUAAUCGGAAUUACUGGGCGUAAAGCGUGCGCAGGCGGUUGUGCAAGACCGAUGUGAAAUCCCCGGGCUUAACCUGGGAAUUGCAUUGGUGACUGCACGGCUAGAGUGUGUCAGAGGGGGGUAGAAUUCCACGUGUAGCAGUGAAAUGCGUAGAGAUGUGGAGGAAUACCGAUGGCGAAGGCAGCCCCCUGGGAUAACACUGAUGCUCAUGCACGAAAGCGUGGGGAGCAAACAGG
rnacentral:rRNA from 1 species